rnacentral:rRNA from 1 species
UACGUAGGGUGCAAGCGUUAAUCGGAAUUACUGGGCGUAAAGCGUGCGCAGGCGGUUUUGUAAGUCUGAUGUGAAAUCCCCGGGCUCAACCUGGGAAUUGCAUUGGAGACUGCAAGGCUAGAAUCUGGCAGAGGGGGGUAGAAUUCCACGUGUAGCAGUGAAAUGCGUAGAGAUGUGGAGGAACACCGAUGGCGAAGGCAGCCCCCUGGGUCAAGAUUGACGCUCAUGCACGAAAGCGUGGGGAGCAAACAGC